UACGUAGGGUGCAAGCGUUGUCCGGAAUUAUUGGGCGUAAAGAGCUCGUAGGCGGUUCGUCGCGUCGGCUGUGAAAACCCGGAGCUCAACUCCGGGCCUGCAGUCGAUACGGGCGGACUCGAGUUCGGCAGGGGAGACUGGAAUUCCUGGUGUAGCGGUGAAAUGCGCAGAUAUCAGGAGGAACACCGGUGGCGAAGGCGGGUCUCUGGGCCGAUACUGACGCUGAGGAGCGAAAGCGCGGGGAGCGAACAGG
rnacentral:rRNA from 1 species